rnacentral:rRNA from 1 species
CCCGGACGGAAAUACCGGACGUUAAUUAACCGCCGAUACGCCCUACCGGGGGAAAGGACCGGGGACGGUACUUCGGUACCUCGGCGCUAGUAGACGAGCCCGCGUGAGAUUAGCUUGUUGGUGGGGUAAUGGCCUACCAAGGCAACGAUCUCUAGCUGGUCUGAGAGGACGAUCAGUCACACUGGGACUGAGACACGGCCCAGACUCCUACGGGAGGCAGCAGUGGGGAAUAUUGGACAAUGGGCGAAAGCCUGAUCCAGCAAUGCCGCGUGUGUGAAGAAGGCCUGAGGGUUGUAAAGCACUUUCAAUCGUGAAGAAAAGUUGCAGGCUAAUACCCUGUGACCUUGACGUUAACGAUACAAGAAGCACCGGCUAACUCCGUG